rnacentral:misc_RNA from 1 species
CCUUCUUUGCGCAUUGAAGAGAUACCGGUUCCCAAGGAGCCCCAGGAAGACGGAGAGACUACCGUGACAGUUAUGGGGGGACAGAUCUCCUCGGGGAAGAUAAACAGUCCCCGAAUUGAUUGCGACAGGACUGCUGGAACGUCGUCUGGGUUAAUUGGGCCGCCUGAGAUGGCCUGGAAUGACUCGGUCUCGCCGCUUCGGACAACUGGGCCGCUUGAGACAUGGCUCCCAAGGCCUGUCUCGCCCCAGCCUUGCCCGACGCUAGAGAUGAGGCUUCCAGCGCUGGUCUCGCCCCACUGCCUACCUGGGCUCCUGAACACGACGAUGACUGGGGAUGUCUCGCCCCACAUUCGAGAUGGGAAGCUUGAGAUCGUGUCUUCUGGGCAUGUCUCGCCCCGACCUCGAGUUGGGCCGCCAGAGAUGACCCCAGACGAUGUUUUGUCGUUUGAAGAUACUGGGACAUUGAAGAUGGCCUUGCCUGCGCCUGUCUCACCUCAGCAUCCGCCUGGGUCGCUUGAGACAGCUGCUUCCUUGCAGACAGAGCCAACUAGUAAGCUGAAGGUCUAUUACCGCAAAGGAUCGAAAGCACGUCAACGUCAAUUUCACGACGGCCAACAAGAUGGAACAGGAAGGGAGUUACUGGCAUUGGAGAAUGGGCUUACAACUGAUCCAAGACCUGAUACCCUCACAGCCCUGGGUGCUCCG